GAUGAACGCUGGCGGCGUGCCUAAUACAUGCAAGUCGAGCGAACAGACGAGGAGCUUGCUCCUCUGACGUUAGCGGCGGACGGGUGAGUAACACGUGGAUAACCUACCUAUAAGACUGGGAUAACUUCGGGAAACCGGAGCUAAUACCGGAUAAUAUAUUGAACCGCAUGGUUCAAUAGUGAAAGACGGUUUUGCUGUCACUUAUAGAUGGAUCCGCGCCGCAUUAGCUAGUUGGUAAGGUAACGGCUUACCAAGGCGACGAUGCGUAGCCGACCUGAGAGGGUGAUCGGCCACACUGGAACUGAGACACGGUCCAGACUCCUACGGGAGGCAGCAGUUGGGAAUCUUCCGCAAUGGGCGAAAGCCUGACGGAGCAACGCCGCGUGAGUGAUGAAGGUCUUCGGAUCGUAAAACUCUGUUAUUAGGGAAGAACAAAUGUGUAAGUAACUAUGCACGUCUUGUCGGUACCUAAUCAGAAAGCCACGGCUAACUACGUG
rnacentral:rRNA from 1 species